rnacentral:rRNA from 1 species
AGAGUUUGAUCCUGGCUCAGGACGAACGCUGGCGGUGUGCUUCACACAUGCAAGUCGAACGAGGUAGCAAUACCUAGUGGCGGACGGGUGAGUAACGCGUGGGAAUCUGCCUUUAGAUGGGGGAUAACGGGUCGAAAGACUCGCUAAUACCGCAUAUGACGAAAGUUGAAAGGAGUAAUCCGUCUAAAGAUGAGCCCGCGUCCGAUUAGCUAGUUGGUAGAGUAAAAGCCUACCAAGGCGACGAUCGUUAGCUGGUCUGAGAGGAUGAUCAGCCACAAUGGGACUGAGACACGGCCCAUACUCCUACGGGAGGCAGCAGUGGGGAAUUUUACGCAAUGGGCGAAAGCCUGACGUAGCGACACCGCGUGAGCGAAGAAGCCCCUUGGGGUGUAAAGCUCUGUCAGCUGGAACGAAAAAAAUGACGGUACCAGCAGAGGAAG